AUUGAACGCUGGCGGAAGGCCUAACACAUGCAAGUCGAGCGAGAGGCGGACGGGUGAGUCAUGUAUGGGGACCUGCCCGAGAGAGGGGGAUAACGACUGGAAACGGUGGCUAAAACCGCAUACGACCGGUAGAACCCAUAUGGGAUUGGCUAGUAGGUGGGGUAAUGGCUCACCUAGGCGACGAUCCCUAGCUGGUCUGAAAGGAUGACCACCCACACUGGAACUGAGCCACGGCCCAGCCUCCUACGGGAGGCAGCAGUGGGGAAUAUUGCACAAUGGGCGCAAGCCUGAUGCAGCCAUGCCGCGUGUGUUAAGAAGGCCUUCGGGUUGUAAAGCACUUUCAGCGAGGAGGCGUUACUCGCAUAAGAAGCACCGGCUAACUCCGUGCCAGCAGCCGCGGUAAUUC
rnacentral:rRNA from 1 species